rnacentral:ncRNA from 1 species
UCUUAUAUAGAGAGGUGGAGGGACUGGCCCUACGAAGCCUCGGCAACCAUUGAAAUCAAGUUCAAACGGUGCCAAUUCCAGCAGAUCUUUAUAUCUGAAAUAUAAGA